GACGAACGCUGGCGGCGUGCUUAACACAUGCAAGUCGAACGGAAAGGCCCUGCUUUUGUGGGGUGCUCGAGUGGCGAACGUGUGAGUAACACGUGAGUAACCUGCCCUUGACUUUGGGAUAACUUCAGGUAACUGGGGCUAAUACCGGAUAGGAGCUCCUGCUGCAUGGUGGGGGUUGGAAAGUUUCGGCGGUGGGGGAUGGACUCGCGGCUUAUCAGCUUGUUGGUGGGGUAGUGGCUUACCAAGGCUUUGACGGGUAGCCGGCCUGAGAGGGUGACCGGCCACAUUGGGACUGAGAUACGGCCCGGACCCCUCCGGGAGGCAGCAGUGGGGAAUAUUGCACAAUGGGCGGAAGCCUGAUGCAGCAACGCCGCGUGCGGGAUGACGGCCUUCGGGUUGUAAACCGCUUUCGCCUGUGACGAAGCGUGAGUGACGGUAAUGGGUAAAGAAGCACCGGCUAACUACGUG
rnacentral:rRNA from 1 species